GCUUUCCCAGUCUCUAACAGCAUGGAUUGCUCCAAGCUUCCCUAAAAGUUAUAUUGCAUGGAAAAUGAAAUCAGGAGUGCCUCAGUGUGUAUGCACCUCUGGUUUAUGAUACAUAGUAAAUUUGUAUCAGUAUUAUCGUGAAGCUUUAGAAUAAGGAUGUACUGUCUAACCUACAAGCCUGUAAAAGAAAAGUUGUAACGAAUAUGUGGUUCUUUAAAAAGAGAAGUAUAUUAUGUAUGUGUGAUAUUCAACUAUAGCUCAAUAAUAAUCAGGAUUGAAAUGAUUAGGGGUUACUCUAACCAAAAGAACCCUAAUUUUACCCUAA